GAUUUGCGUACCUUUUAUCAGUUUCUCACCCAAUCCUCAUCGUGUUUCAUCGUGGAUCUUGCGUUGUGACUUUUUUCUGCCCCUACACAGUGACGUAAUGAAGUGCUUAAAUAUAUUCGCAGUUGUGAUGGUGAUGCUCCUUGCACUUGAAACUGCGAUGGCAUUCUCGAGUUGGAACUACGUAGCGGCCUCCAAACGCGACGCUCAGAAAAAGUGUAGUGGUUGUUCCAACGAUUGCCGACAGUUUGGGGGGAUGAGGAACUGCGUGUACAUGGGUAAAGGCCCGACCUCGAAAAAGUCCAAGACUGCUCUGCACACGUAUCGAUGCAAUUGCAAGGCGUGAAUACUUCGUCGGAUACUUUGAGAGAAACAUCCGACCGUAUAUCUGAAGGGCUUGAUGGUUGUUGCAGUGAAGCAGCAUUACUUUACCUAAGAGAGAAAAACUUUUUAUUUACCUUAUGUAACAACUUCCACCAUAUUAAUUCGGAGAAAUGUCUUUCAUAAUGCCAUAAUAUGACAUGUACUUUAUACUUAUAUAAAAAAAUUACAAAGAAGCGAAAUGUUAUUAAA